AGAGACUGAGAGGGAGAGAGAGAGAGAGAGAGACUGAGAGGGAGAGAGACUGAGAUGGAGGGAUAGAGAGAGAGAGAGGCGUUUGUGUCUGUCUGAAUGUUGCUGCUGUUUUCAUUCCUCUCAUCUCACUCGUCCAUCACCUGUGGAUCAUGAGCGCGGUGUUAUUGGACCAUAAAUAUCAGGGGUGGUCUAGGGUGAGUGAAGAUCCGGGGCCCAGAAAAAUCCAUGUAUGUGACUUUUUAUUUUAAUAAAUCAGAAAGAUUUACCUUGUUUAAAAUAUACAAGAACAAUAAAAACAAAAACAAAUUUAAAACAUGUUAUUUAAAGUAUUGAGGAAAAUACAUUUGCUUUUUGCAAACAAAAAUUAAGAAUUGCAAAACAAAUGAAACAGCGCGAAAGCAAUGAUUUUGCAAUAGCCUACAUAUUUUCCAUGGUCUAUUAAUUUAUUUGCAACUCUGCUUUUAUUUUGCGAGUCAGUCUAGUUUGAGCUUGCAAUACCAUUUUCCCUUUGCGCUUCACUUUUCUGCACAUCUCUCUUUGUGGCACUGUUUUGACGUGGGGGCGGAGUCAAUGGACGGGGGCGUGUAUGCAGCUCACUGAUCCAGGUCCUGUUAUGAUGAGCAGAGACUUUCGAAUGGAUCGUUUAUUUUUAUUCAGUAGCAUUAAAACAUUCAUGUUUUCGUUUAAUUUACUUUAUUAACAAAUGUAUGUGUAUUAGCCGCGUUUGCUCAAGUUAAAGAAGUUGUCAACAUGAACAUCUUCUGUUUAUUUCUCUCGAUCUGCACACUUUUAUAGCAUGUAUUUGCAAAUCAUUUGAGUCAGUUCGGGAGUUCGUAGCGGGUUCGCGAAUCAUUUGAGUCAGUUCGGGAGUUCGUAGCGGGUUCGCGAAUCAUUUGAGUCAGUUCGGGAGUUCGUAGCGGGAUCGCGAAUCAUUUGAGUCAGUUCGGGAGUUCGUAGCGGGAUCGCGAAUCAUUUGAGUCAGUUCGGGAGUUCGUAGUGGGUUCGCGAAUAAUUUGAGUCAGUUCGGGAGUUCGUAGCGGGAUCGCGAAUCUUUUGAGUCAGUUCGGGAGUUCGGAGCGGGAUCGUGAAUCAUUUGAGUCAAUUUGGGGAUCGCGAAUCAUUUGAGUCAGUUCGGGAGUUCGUAGCGGGAUCGCGAAUCAUUUGAGUCAGUUCGGGAGUUCGGAGCGGGAUCGCGAAUCAUUUGAGUCAGUUCGGGAGUUCGGAGCAGGAUCGCGAAUCAUUUGAGUCAAUUUGGGGAUCGCGAAUCAUUUGAAUCAGUUCGGGAGUUCGUAGCGGGAUCGCGAAUCUCUUGAGUCAUCUGACUCCAGUUUGGGAGUUGGAGCGGGAUCGCGAAUCAUUUGAGUCAGUUCGGGAGUUCGUAGCGGUUUCGCGAAUCAUUUGAGUCAGUUUGGGGUUCGCGAAUCAUAGCUGUAUAUGGAUAGGCAUUUUUAACUAAUUUAGUAGCUAGUUAUAAUUACGAUUUCCACGCUUGUUAAGGUGUGAAAUGUGAACUCGUAUUUUUUGUUUUAAUGAUGUGCCUUUUAACAGUAUCAAAUAUAUUCAAAAACUAAACAAAUCGUGCCUAAAAAGUGCAUGCAUCUAGGCUAAUUUAAAGUUACAUGAUAAAGUCAUACUAGUGCGCGUGCGCAUUUUGAGUGCGUUCUUUCACUGCAUUAUUUGGUGUAUUUAAAUGCAUAUAUGAAAGGAUGUGAAUGAUCACAAAAUUCAAGAUAUGAACCCUUUGUGCCAAAAGGGUUCUUUCUUGUCAUUAUAGAACCUUUUUAGCAUAAAAGGUUCUUUGGAGUUGAGUAAAGAACCCCAAUUAUCCCUUUUUUUCUAACAGUUUGUUGUCAUAAAUAUCACAGACAUCCCAAGUCUCCCGGAAGUUCCGGGAUUCUCCCGCAUUUUGAAAGCAGCUCACUGAGACCCGCAAAUUAGUUAAAAUCUCCCGGAAUCUAGACCGAGCGAGCAAAAGCGUGCAUGUAGCGCGCGCACGGCAGAGAGGGAGAGGGAGCGAGAGACCUUGCGUGUGUGUGCUAAUGUGCGUGUGUGCGAAGCGCAUUUCAGACAGAGAGCGUCCUGAUUGGCCUGUUUCUGCAAAUCAACCAAUCAAUUUUCAGUGUGGGCGGGCUUUUAUCUCUUCUCCCGAACAAAAUUAAUCAGUUAUGUCUAUCUAGAAACAAUGAAGUUUUGCUGUUCCAAAACUGUCUCAUAAAGGUUGAGAAUGCCCAGGCUAAAAAAACUGCAUAAACAUUCAAUAACGCUUCAGAUAUGCUGAGUCCCUUUUAUUUGGUUUGUUUUAUUUUAUUUACUUUGUUUUAGCUUAUUUUUAUUGUUUUUUUUUUCUCAAUCUAAUUUGUUCUCCCUUGUCAUGUGAACAUUAUAGAAAAUGUCUUCUCAGAUUAUUUGCUGGAGGUGUGACUCUUAGUUUAUGAUACAAUAAGAUUUAAGAUAUUGUACAUUUUGAGGAUGUAAUUUUUUUUUUCUUCUUUUUUGUCAGAUGUUUUCAUUGUUUAUUAUGAUAAGAAGAAAAAAAAGUCUAUCUAGAUACAGGAGCACUAUGGCAGAGGGAAAGUGCCACAAAAAAAAAAAAAAAGUAUAAGACACAUUUUACGGCAGACUACACGAAUGUGUACCCGUCUUAUAGAUGUAAAACAUAAUGAGUCUUGCUCAAGCAUUGCCCAUGGCGGGUUAAAUGAUUGCAAAAGGCAUGUUGAGGUGAGUUGACAAGUUUCAUUUCAUCUGCAUAUUAUUCAGACUUGUUGCCAAGGCUACAUGAAAACAACAAACUCUUUAGACCUGUUUAAAGUUGCAAUGGAAAAUAAAUAAAAGCAGUUUACAUAAAUUGUAUAAGCAGAUUAUAUAAAUAGUAUAAGUAAUCUACAUAUUUAAACAUAAUUAACAAAUAAUUACAUAGGCCUAUAGUUUAUAGAAAUAAUAUUUUAUGCUUAUCUUUUAGGGACCACAACAUGUUAGGGAGGCUAAGCGCAGGGAAGUUCUCCAAUUCAGAUAGACAAAGUCUCACUGAGGUGGUGACUACAUCUGAGAUGUAUUUCCUUCCUUUUUUGGGGGGUGGGGGGUGGGGUCUUCGGGAUACCUCCUGGAAAUGACUUUUUGCAGGUUGGGAUGUCUGAUAUCAUACAAAAACAAAGUGAAUGAGAUUGUACAUUAUCAUACAAAGAUAGCAGAUCACCAAAACAUAAACUGGAAAAAAGUAAAUAAAUAAAAGUAAAUAAAAACCUAGUGUAGCAACUAGUAAAAGUAGAAGCUAGUAAAGUUCUCAAUUACAAAGAAACAGCAAGUAUCACAUUAGUUAACAUUGAUAAGAAAGAAUGAAAUAGUCUUUUCUUUUAAAACAUACUCAAAUAUUUUUUUGUUUUAUUUACAACUUAUAACUAAAAACUUUUUUUACAGAAUAAAAUAGUUUUGAAUUUCCGUGAGAGUGUUGCAUGCAUUUGUUCGACAUUUGGACUCAUUGUGCUUGUGUUCUGUUAGUAGUGAUGUACAAUCACUGCAUGAGAUUUGAAUCAGACAAUCUUGCUCAGAUUCGUUCACUGAUUCAUUGGUAUGAAGGUGCAUUAACUUUACUGAUAUAAGAAGUCUGCACAAGUCUAACCAAAGAGGUCUGAACUUCAAAUAAAUAAAUAUUGCAAUGAAUGUGCUUUUACCAAAUGGACCUGAAUAGAAACAAAUAAUUUUUCCAUCAUUCGUUUGCAUUUUAUUUAUUUUUUCUCUAAAAUGUGAUUUAAGCAAGUCAGGUUUGAAUGAGAAGUGGUUUGUGUUGAGUCACAGCUGUUUCGUGUUAUGACUGUAAGAUCGUAAAACUCUUCUGUUUUGUUUUGAAUGGCGAAUGGCUGCUGGGAGAGGCGAGUUCACUCCUUUCUCCGUCAGAGGAGGAGCAGCACGAGGAGCUGUGGAAGUAGUGCGACACAAACUGAUUCGCAUCUUAAACCUGGUCAUGUUGAGACUGUGUCUGAGACAACACAAGGUGAUCGACGAGCAGGACGAGGACGAGGUGCUGAACUCCAGUCAGUAUCCACAGAGAAUCAUCAGAGCCGGGGAGAUGCAAAACAUGACACAUGCUUUCCAAACACUGCGUCGUCAUUCACGCCAAAGGACUUCACGAAACUACACACCAAAAGCCAGAGAUAAAACAUCUAUACUGACAGUAGUUUUUGAGUUUUUAAUAAUUUUUUUUUAUGACUGUCAAAGACCAAACAGAAAAAUUGACAGUAGCAGAUUUUCACCCAAAGAGGGGACGGUUUAUUAUUUAAAAAAUAUCAAGUUUAGUAAAUAAUGUAUGAAUAUGAGAAUUUUAGUCAUGAUAAAAAAAGUUACACUUUAUUUCGAUAGUCCACUUUAGACAUUCUACUCACUAGAAGUAACUUUUUUAACUACAUGUCAACUAAUUAUCAUUAAUUUGCUGCUACAUGUCUACUAACUCUCAGACUAGACUGUUAGGGGCAGAGAUGUAUGAAGUACUAGAGACCCAUACUUGAGUAAAAGUACAAGUGCUCUAUCAAAAAAGUGACUUGAGUAGAAGUUGAAGUGCUCUUUAAACACCACACUCAAGUAGAAGUACUAAAGUAUUCAAUAUUUUUUGUACUUAAGUAUUGCAAGUAGUCUAUUUUAAAAUGUACUACUCAAGUACUGAAAGUAAAAGUAGAAGUAUUGUGUUACGUAGCUAUUAAAGAAAGUAGUCAAAAGUUUGAACAUAUUGUUUUUACUUUUUCAAAUGAUUAACCUAAAGGACAAUCACAAUUCCUUUGACUGUAACUUCUUGUAAACAAAAAAGGGUUACUAGGGUUAGUUAGCCCAAUUUGCAAAAUGAUGUCAUUGAUAACUUACCCUCAUGUUGUUUCAAACCCAUAAGACAUCAGAGGGUCAUUUAGAAUUUUUUAAAGCAUCGAAAAUACAUUUUGGUCCAAAAAUAGCAAAAACUACGACUUUAUUCAGCAUUGUCUUCUCUUCCGUGUCUGUUGUAAGACAGUUAAAAACAAAGCAGUUUGUGAUAUCUGGUUCGCGAACGAAUCAUUCGUAACCGGAUCUUUUUGAAACAGUUCACCAAAUCGAACUGAAUCGUUUUAAACGGUUCGCGUCUCAAAUACGCAUUAAUCCACAGAUGAAUUAAGCUGUUAACUUGUUUAAUGUGUCUGACACUCCUUCUGAGUUAAAACAAACCAAUAUCCCGGAGUAAUUCAUUGACUCAAACAGUACACUGACUGAACUGCUGUGAAGAGAGAACUGAAGAUGAACACCGAGCCGAGCCAGAUAAUGACUCGUUCACGAGUCAAGAACCGUUUCUGUCAGACGCGUCCGAUUCGUGAACCGAGGAGCUGAUGAUACUGCGCAUGUGUGAUUUAGCGUGAAGCAAACCGACACACAGAGCGUCUGAAACAAACUGAUUCUUUUGGUGAUUGAUUCUGAACUAAUUCUGUGUUAAUGUUAUGAGCCCAGGUGCAGUCAACGCCAAUGACGCCAUUGCGUCGAGCGCAAAAGAAUCGGUGAACUGUUUUCUUCAACUGGUUUAUUGAAUCGAACUGUCAGAAAGAAGUAAAAGUGGAAGUAGGAGAAAAAUAAUAAUACUCUAGUAAAGUACAGAUACCGCCUUUUAGUACUUAAGUACAAUAGUGAAGUAGUUCUACUUCGUUACUAUACAUCUCUGGUUAGGGGUAGGUUUAGGGUUAGUGUCAGUGUUAGGUCUAGGUUUAGGGUUAGUAUAAGUUGACAAAGAAAAUGUUAGAAGAUAUUAAGCAGACAGUUUACUAAUACUCUACUAACUGCUAGAUGACAUGUACUGUAUUUUUCGGACUAUAAGUCACACCUGAGUACAAGUUGCAUCAGUCCAAAAAUACGACAUGAUGUGGAAAAAAACACAUAUAAGUCGCACUGGACUAUAAGAAAACAUUACCGUCUCCAGCCGCGAGAGGGCCUAUAUGAUUUCAGUGUAGACUACAGGAGCACUGAGCGGCAUAGAGACUGUAGACGGUAAUGUUUUCUCUUAGUUCAUUUCUCUUGGUUCAUGUCAAAUUAAUUUGGAUAAAUAAGUCGCACCUGACUAUAAGUCGCAGGACCAGCCAAACAAUUAAAAAAAGUGCAACUUAUAGUACGGAAAAUACGGUAGUUGCAAAUUUACUUACUGUUAGGAGAAUGUCUAAAGUGGACUAUCGAAAUAAAGUAUAACCAAAAAAAUAUAUAUAUAUUCCAUGUGUUUGUUUUGCUAUUGCAAUUUGCAUUUUAAAAACAUCUGGUGAAUUCAAUUAACUAAUGUCUAACAGGUUCUUAACUAAUUUGGGUUCACAUAUGUAAUCAAGAUUCAGUUUUAAUAACAAAUGUUUGCAUAAAUGGGUAAAACUAACUAAUUAACUAAAUACUAUGUAACCAAAUCAUGGUAAAAAUAUGCCAUUGCUUUGAAAAAGUCAGCAUUUUCUUCCUACAUGUACACCAUUUUGACCAGUUUCACUAGCUUUAAAAGAGUGAAUCAUGUAGCACAGGCAGACUGUGUCUAAUAGAUUACACUUGUAGAAGAGAUUUUCAAUUGCUUUAUAAAAAGUUACUAUGCGUUUAUGGAUAGAGUUCUUAUUGCAUUUACACUGUUUUGUCCAGCUUCAAGAGCUUCAAAAGAGUGAAUCAUUUUGCAUUUUUAGGUUCCAUUUAAUAAAAUUACUCCUUAAUGAAAACAUUUGCGAUAGGAGUCUUUCAGCAUUAUUCGGUUGCUCCUGUAAUUGCAUUUACACAGUUGUGACCAGCCAGUGUCAUCAACAUGCUUCCUGAGCUCUUUACAAUAGUGAAUCACUUUGCAAAGCAAUUUGUUCAGUUGAUUCAGUUCAGCUGAUUCUCUCCCCCAUCACUUAUGUAUAUUAAAUAUGUAAUCCAAACAUUAUUUGCAUGCGGAGUACACUGUGAGCAUGAUAAAUGUCUCACCAAAAUUGGGUGAGUUUAUCCUCAAAACAAGAACAUAUUUUCUCAAAAUGAAGUGGGUUUAUGCUUAAAACAAGAACAGUUUUAUCAAAGAUAUGUCAGUUUGUGAAUACCACAGAUUUAUCAAAAUAUGUGGGUUUAUGCUUUGAGCAAGAACAAAUGUAUAAAUUAAUGUUGAUAAAAACCUGUUAUACUAAAACCACUCAGACAUAAAAUAAAAAUGUUUACAAAUCUGUAUAGACAUUGAAAUAAAUGCAUAAAGUAUUAACGCUCAGAUAGAAAGAAAGUUUAUUGUAAUACAUUUAUUUCAGUUGUUUUUAGUUCUAUAUAAUGAACUGUUAUACUCAUAUAUGUAUUUUUCAUGAAAGAAAAAUGUAGUACAUAUUUCAUGCCUUAUUUACUUGUGCUAACAUUUUAUUUAUUGCAUGACAUUUUUAAUAAUUUCUAUAGAUGUUUAUUUAAUUUUGCGUGUCUGGGGUGUUUGUAGUCUCAGUGUGGAAUCUACUAAUCAUACUACUCUGUUUCUCUCUCUCUCUAUAUAUAUAUGACACGGAUGUUAUGCUUAUUAGUUUUGUUUGCCCACUGAAAGUGGAUUUGACAUUUAAAUAAUAUGUAUUUGGAAGAUAAAAGUAAUUAAAGGUCCAUACAAAAUAAAAGUCAGAUUCAUUCAUGUAGCACUUUAAAAAAAUAUGUUAAACAAAUUUCCAUAGUUUGCUGCCAAUUCCACACGAAUGUCCAAUGUUUCUGAAACUCUAUGAAAUUCUGAAAAGUGGACGUAAAAUAAUAGCAGACUUCAUUGCACAAGAUAUGUAUAUAAUAAUCAAACAACAAUAAUGUUGAUAAAAUAAAAAUUUUAGAAAAUUG